AACGAACGCUGGCGGCAUGCCUAACACAUGCAAGUCGAACGAGACCUACGGGUCUAGUGGCGCACGGGUGCGUAACGCGGGGGAACCUGCCCUUAGGUUCGGAAUAACUCCCCGAAAGGGGUGCUAAUACCGGAUAAUGUCUGCGGACCAAAGAUUUAUCGCCUUUGGAUGGGCCCGCGUUGGAUUAGCUGGUUGGUAGGGUAAAAGCCUACCAAGGCGACGAUCCAUAGCUGGUCUGAGAGGAUGAUCAGCCACACUGGGACUGAGACACGGCCCAGACUCCUACGGGAGGCAGCAGUGGGGAAUAUUGGACAAUGGGCGAAGGCAUGAUCCAGCACUGCCGCGUGAGUGAUGAAGGCGUUAGGGUUGUAAAGCUCUUUUACCCGGGAUGAUAAUGACAGUACCGGGAGAAUAAGCUCCGGCUAACUCCGUG
rnacentral:rRNA from 1 species